GAUGAACGCUAGCUACAGGCUUAACCCUUGCAAGUCGAGGGACCGGCGCACGGGUGAGUCACACGUAUCCAGGCUGCCCUUUACUCGGGGAUAGCCUUUCGAGAGAACGAUUACUCCCCGAUCUAAAGGAUGGGGAUGCGUUCCAUUAGGUUGUUGGUGAGGUAACGGCUCACCAGUCCUUCGAUGGAUAGGGGUUCUGCGAGGAAGGCCCCCCACAUUGGAACUGAGGCACGUGCCAAACGCCUACGGGAGGCAGCAGUGAGUAAUAUGGGUCAAUGGGCCCUAGACUGAAUCAGCCAAGUAGCGUGAAUGAUGAAUGCUUAUGGGUCGUAAAUUUCUUUUAUAUAAGAAUAUGUAUUAUAUGAAUAAGGAUCGGCUAACUCCGUGCCAGCAGCCGCGGUAAUGC
rnacentral:rRNA from 1 species